rnacentral:rRNA from 1 species
AGAGUUUGAUCCUGGCUCAGGAUGAACGCUAGCGGCAGGCUUAACACAUGCAAGUCGAGGGGUAGAAGGAGCUUGCUCCUUUGAGACCGGCGCACGGGUGCGUAACGCGUAUGCAAUCUACCUUGUACAGGGGGAUAGCCCAGAGAAAUUUGGAUUAAUACCCCAUAGUAUUUUCAGAUGGCCUCAUUUGAUUAUUAAAGUUCCAACGGUACAAGAUGAGCAUGCGUCCCAUUAGCUAGUUGGUGUGGUAACGGCAUACCAAGGCAACGAUGGGUAGGGGUCCUGAGAGGGAGAUCCCCCACACUGGUACUGAGACACGGACCAGACUCCUACGGGAGGCAGCAGUGAGGAAUAUUGGUCAAUGGGCGCAAGCCUGAACCAGCCAUGCCGCGUGCAGGAUGACGGUCCUAUGGAUUGUAAACUGCUUUUGUACAGGAAGAAACCCUCCCUUGUAAGGGAGCUUGACGGUACUGUAAGAAUAAGGAUCGGCUAACUCCGUGCCAGCAGCCGCGGUAAU